GAUGAACGCUGGCGGUCUGCUUAACACAUGCAAGUCGAACGGAGGUAGAAAUACCUCAGUGGCGGACGGGUGAGUAACACGUGAGAAUCUAGCUUCAGGUCGGGGAUAACAGAGGGAAACCGCUGCUAAUACCGAAUGUGCCGAGAGGUGAAAGACAAGUUGCCUGAGGAUGAGCUCGCGGCGGAUUAGCUAGUUGGUGGGGGUAAAAGCCUACCAAGGCGACGAUCCGUAGCUGGUCUGAGAGGACGAGCAGCCACACUGGGACUGAGACAAGGCCCAGACUCCUACGGGAGGCAGCAGUGGGGAAUUUUCCGCAAUGGGCGAAAGCCUGACGGAGCAAGACCGCGUGAGGGAGGAAGGCUCUUGGGUUGUAAACCUCUUUUCUUUGGGAAGAAGAAAGUGACAGUACCAAAGGAAUCAGCAUCGGCUAACUCCGUGCCAGCAGCCGCGGUAAUACGGAGGAUGCAAGCGUUAUCCGGAAUCAUUGGGCGUAAAGCGUCCGCAGGUGGUGGGGCAAGUCGGCUGUCAAAGGUCACAGCUUAACUGUGAACAGGCGGUGGAAACUGCCAAACUAGAGUGCGGUAGGGGUAGAGGGAAUCCCGGUGUA
rnacentral:rRNA from 1 species